rnacentral:rRNA from 1 species
AUUGAACGCUGGCGGAAUGCUUUACACAUGCAAGUCGAACGGUAGGGGGGGCAACCCCUCGAGAGUGGCGAACGGGUGAGUAAUAUAUCGGAACGUGCCCAGUCGUGGGGGAUAACGUAGCGAAAGUUACGCUAAUACCGCAUACGAUCUACGGAUGAAAGCGGGGGAUCGCAAGACCUCGCGCGAUUGGAGCGGCCGAUAUCAGAUUAGGUAGUUGGGGGGGUAAAGGCUCACCAAGCCAACGAUCUGUAGCUGGUCUGAGAGGACGACCAGCCAAACUGGAACUGAGACACGGUCCAGACUCCUACGGGAGGCAGCAGUGGGGAAUUUUGGACAAUGGACGCAAGUCGGAUCCAGCCAUUCCGCGUGCAGGAUGAAGGCCCUCGGGUUGUAAACUGCUUUUGUACGGAACGAAAAGGUUUCCAUUAAUACUGGGAGCUCAUGACGGUACCGUAAGAAUAAGCACCGGCUAACUACGUGCCAGCCGCCGCCGUAA